GUAACACGUGGGUGAUCUGCCCUGCACUUCGGGAUAAGCCUGGGAAACUGGGUCUAAUACCGGAUAUGACCUCCUAUCGCAUGGUGGGUGGUGGAAAGAUUUAUCGGUGCAGGAUGGGCCCGCGGCCUAUCAGCUUGUUGGUGGGGUAAUGGCCUACCAAGGCGACGACGGGUAGCCGACCUGAGAGGGUGACCGGCCACACUGGGACUGAGACACGGCCCAGACUCCUACGGGAGGCAGCAGUGGGGAAUAUUGCACAAUGGGCGAAAGCCUGAUGCAGCGACGCCGCGUGAGGGAUGACGGCCUUCGGGUUGUAAACCUCUUUCAGCAGGGACGAAGCGCAAGUGACGGUACCUGCAGAAGAAGCACCGGCUAACUACGUGCCAGCAGCCGCGGUAAUACGUAGGGUGCAA
rnacentral:rRNA from 2 species